rnacentral:tRNA from 1 species
GGGGAUGCAGCUCAGUUGGUAGAGUGCUUGCCUCACAUGUACAAGGCCCUGGGUUCAAUCCCCAGCACCAUCA